GACGAACGCUGGCGGCGUGCUUAACACAUGCAAGUCGAGCGGUAAGGCCCUUUCGGGGGUACGACGAGCGGCGAACGGGUGAGUAACACGUGGGUGACCUGCCCUCAGCUCUGGGAUAAGCCUGGGAAACUGGGUCUAAUACUGGAUAUGACUCCACGGUGCAUGUCGGUGGGGUGGAAAGCCUUGUGCGGCUGAGGAUGGGCCCGCGGCCUAUCAGCUUGUUGGGUGGGGUGANGGCCUACCAAGGCGACGACGGGUAGCCGGCCUGAGAGGGCGACCGGCCACACUGGGACUGAGACA
rnacentral:rRNA from 1 species